rnacentral:ncRNA from 2 species
ACAACCGGUGCUGGAACAGGUUCUGCCGCGAGGCGGAUGAAAAGGGAACGCGGUUCAAGCCCGCGGCUGCCCCCGCAACUGUAACCGGCGAGUUGAUCUCCAUGAAGUCACUGGCGGCGCGUCCUGCGCUGCCGGGAAGGCGGAGAUCGAGCGAUGACCCGGAAGCCAGGAGACCUGCCCGUUCCAGUCACCUGAG